rnacentral:rRNA from 1 species
CAGCAGCCGCGGUAAUACAGAGGGUGCGAGCGUUAAUCGGAUUUACUGGGCGUAAAGCGUGCGUAGGCGGCUAAUUGAGUCGGAUGUGAAAUCCCCGAGCUUAACUUGGGAAUUGCAUUCGAUACUGGUUAGCUAGAGUGUGGGAGAGGAUGGUAGAAUUCCAGGUGUAGCGGUGAAAUGCGUAGAGAUCUGGAGGAAUACCGAUGGCGAAGGCAGCCAUCUGGCCUAACACUGACGCUGAGGUACGAAAGCAUGGGGAGCAAACAGGAUUAGAUACCCGAGUAGUCCCUGUCUCUUAUAA